UAAAUCAGAUAAUAAAUGUUCGGCAUCGAUCCCGACCCCGACUGCGUUUCACUUUCGGUACGCAGCGCCUUUACCGCUUGAGCUAACGACAAACUUGGUGAAGAUUACCGCAAACAAAAGUUUUUAUAUUGCUACAAAAUACGAAAUAACUCCCGUCUGUCCAGUCACUUGGUUAUUUUUUAUUUGAGCUGCUAUAAAUGUUACUAGCUCAUAUAAGAUCUGUGAAAUUAGUGCUAAAACAUAAACAAUUUUGUCAAAAAAUUAAAAGGCAAUAUGUCUGGAUCAAAUAAACUGACUAGAAGCAAACUGAUAUCUUGAAAUAUAGAUUAACAUGCUGACAAACUGUUACAGUUUAAUCAAGUUAUAAAUUCACAUCGAGU